GACAAUCAAAAUGAAAACACCAAUCAAAGGAACAGUGUGACAUUAGAAGGUGUUAUACUUCUAAAGCUGUCCUUCUAAAAAUGCUUGAGAGGAUAACCUUGAAAGGGAAGGCUCAAGGGAUGUUUCAGCCAAGUGCUGUUGCCUUCAGAACUUCAAGGAUCUAAUGCUCCAAAGGACUCUAAAGUAAUUCUGGAGAUUACCUUACUGUGAAAUGUUGAGAAGACAUUAGACAGGCAAAGUUUUUGAUAAAUUUGUCUCCACACCUCUUGGUAGAAGUCUGUACUAAUCACUGUCAACUGAAAAAUGGACUGCUCGAAGAAGACAGGAUAAAUGCAAUAGCUACUCACAGCAGUGAGUCUCACAGAUUAACAGCUAUGUGGACCCUUUGCAGACUGGAAGAGUUCUUGGCAUUGGCUUUAGCUUAUGGGAAGGAAGGAAAUAAGAAAAAAAAUAGACAUUGAUUGCUUAAAAUGCAAUACCUUGAAAAGAGAAGGCUUAAUAUCCCACCUGAAGAGACUGAAGGACAUCACUGCUUGGUUCAAAGCAAUUUGGCAUUAAGGUAGCAAAGAUGGGAGCAGUUAUCUCAUAAGGUACAGAAACAAAAUUUAGAAAAGAAACAACUUGGUGAAAUUGUCUUUCACUCAACCCCAGACAUUUCCCUUGGUACCAGUGAAAACUGCCUGACACCUUUGCUUGUAAAAGAACUUCCUGCUGAAAUCAUCAGCGAAUAUUCUUCUAAACUGGUAAAUUGUCAUGUGAGAUAUCCUUGCUGUGAUACAAACAUUGAGCACUGGAAAUAUUAUUACAUUCUGCCCCAUUUUAUAUGUGUGUUUGGCCCUUUAAUAUUAAAAUAUUUUAUUACAUGUGAA